rnacentral:rRNA from 1 species
CACGGGGGUUGCGAGCGUUGUCCGGAAUUACUGGGCGUAAGGGCGCGCAGGCUGUAGAUCAAGUCAGCUGUGAAAUGUCUGGGCUUAACCCGGGCAUGCGGUUGAAACUGAUGUACUGGAGUGCUGUAGAGGCAAGUGGAAUUCCCAGUGUAGCGGUGAAAUGCGUAGAUAUUGGGAAGAACACCGGUGGCGAAGGCGACUUGCUGGGCAGCAACUGACGCUGAGGCGCGAAAGCCAGGGGAGCAAACGGGAUUAGAUA